rnacentral:rRNA from 1 species
ACAGCAGCAGCCGCGGGAAUACGAAGGGUGCAAGCGUUACUCGGAAUUACUGGGCGUAAAGCGUGCGUAGGUGGUUGUUUAAGUCUGCUGUGAAAGCCCUGGGCUCAACCUGGGAAUUGCAGUGGAUACUGGGCAACUAGAGUAAGGUAGAGGAUAGUGGAAUUUCCGGUGUAGCAGUGAAAUGCGUAGAGAUCGGAAGGAACAUCUGUGGCGAAGGCGACUAUCUGGGCCAUUACUGACACUGAGGCACGAAAGCGUGGGGAGCAAACAGGAUUAGAUACCCCCGUAGUCCCUGUCUCUUAUAC